rnacentral:rRNA from 1 species
UUAAGCGACUAAGCGUACACGGUGGAUGCCCUGGCAGUCAGAGGCGAUGAAGGACGUGCUAAUCUGCGAAAAGCGUCGGUAAGGUGAUAUGAACCGUUAUAACCGGCGAUGUCCGAAUGGGGAAACCCAGUGCAAUUCGUUGCACUAUCGUUAACUGAAUACAUAGGUUAACGAGGCGAACCGGGGGAACUGAAACAUCUAAGUACCCCGAGGAAAAGAAAUCAACCGAGAUUCCCCCAGUAGCGGCGAGCGAACGGGGAGCAGCCCAGAGUCUGAAUCAGCUUGUGUGUUAGUGGAACGGUCUGGAAAGUCCGACGGUACAGGGUGAUAGUCCCGUACACCAAAAUGCACAAGUUGUGAACUCGAAGAGUAGGGCGGGACACGUGGUAUCCUGUCUGAAUAUGGGGGGACCAUCCUCCAAGGCUAAAUACUCCUGACUGACCGAUAGUGAACCAGUACCGUGAGGGAAAGGCGAAAAGAACCCCGGCGAGGGGAGUGAAAAAGAACCUGAAACCGUGUACGUACAAGCAGUGGGAGCACCUUCGUGGUGUGACUGCGUACCUUUUGUAUAAUGGGUCAGCGACUUAUAUUCUGUAGCAAGGUUAACCGUAUAGGGGAGCCGCAGGGAAACCGAGUCUUAACUGGGCGUUAAGUUGCAGGGUAUAGACCCGAAACCCGGUGAUCUAGCCAUGGGCAGGUUGAAGGUUGGGUAACACUAACUGGAGGACCGAACCGACUAAUGUUGAAAAAUUAGCGGAUGACUUGUGGCUGGGGGUGAAAGGCCAAUCAAACCGGGAGAUAGCUGGUUCUCCCCGAAAGCUAUUUAGGUAGCGCCUCGUGAAUUCAUCUUCGGGGGUAGAGCACUGUUUCGGCUAGGGGGUCAUCCCGACUUACCAACCCGAUGCAAACUACGAAUACCGAAGAAUGUUAUCACGGGAGACACACGGCGGGUGCUAACGUCCGUCGUGAAGAGGGAAACAACCCAGACCGCCAGCUAAGGUCCCAAAGUCAUGGUUAAGUGGGAAACGAUGUGGGAAGGCACAGACAGCCAGGAUGUUGGCUUAGAAGCAGCCAUCAUUUAAAGAAAGCGUAAUAGCUCACUGGUCGAGUCGGCCUGCGCGGAAGAUGUAACGGGGCUAAACCAUGCACCGAAGCUGCGGCAGCGACACGAUGUGUUGUUGGGUAGGGGAGCGUUCUGUAAGCCUGCGAAGGUGGCCUGUGAGGGUUGCUGGAGGUAUCAGAAGUGCGAAUGCUGACAUAAGUAACGAUAAAGCGGGUGAAAAGCCCGCUCGCCGGAAGACCAAGGGUUCCUGUCCAACGUUAAUCGGGGCAGGGUGAGUCGACCCCUAAGGCGAGGCCGAAAGGCGUAGUCGAUGGGAAACAGGUUAAUAUUCCUGUACUUGGUGUUACUGCGAAGGGGGGACGGAGAAGGCUAUGUUAGCCGGGCGACGGUUGUCCCGGUUUAAGCAUGUAGGCUGGUUAUCCAGGCAAAUCCGGAUAAUCAAGGCUGAGGUGUGAUGACGAGGCACUACGGUGCUGAAGUAACAAAUGCCCUGCUUCCAGGAAAAGCCUCUAAGCAUCAGGUAACAUCAAAUCGUACCCCAAACCGACACAGGUGGUCAGGUAGAGAAUACCAAGGCGCUUGAGAGAACUCGGGUGAAGGAACUAGGCAAAAUGGUGCCGUAACUUCGGGAGAAGGCACGCUGGUGUGUAGGUGAAGUCCCUGCGGAUGGAGCUGAGACCAGUCGAAGAUACCAGCUGGCUGCAACUGUUUAUUAAAAACACAGCACUGUGCAAACACGAAAGUGGACGUAUACGGUGUGACGCCUGCCCGGUGCCGGAAGGUUAAUUGAUGGGGUUAUCCGUAAGGAGAAGCUCUUGAUCGAAGCCCCGGUAAACGGCGGCCGUAACUAUAACGGUCCUAAGGUAGCGAAAUUCCUUGUCGGGUAAGUUCCGACCUGCACGAAUGGCGUAAUGAUGGCCAGGCUGUCUCCACCCGAGACUCAGUGAAAUUGAACUCGCUGUGAAGAUGCAGUGUACCCGCGGCAAGACGGAAAGACCCCGUGAACCUUUACUAUAGCUUGACACUGAACAUUGAGCCUUGAUGUGUAGGAUAGGUGGGAGGCUUUGAAGCGUGGACGCCAGUCUGCGUGGAGCCAACCUUGAAAUACCACCCUUUAAUGUUUGAUGUUCUAACGUUGGCCCCUUAUCGGGGUUGCGGACAGUGUCUGGUGGGUAGUUUGACUGGGGCGGUCUCCUCCCAAAGCGUAACGGAGGAGCACGAAGGUUAGCUAAUCCUGGUCGGACAUCAGGAGGUUAGUGCAAUGGCAUAAGCUAGCUUGACUGCGAGCGUGACGGCGCGAGCAGGUGCGAAAGCAGGUCAUAGUGAUCCGGUGGUUCUGAAUGGAAGGGCCAUCGCUCAACGGAUAAAAGGUACUCCGGGGAUAACAGGCUGAUACCGCCCAAGAGUUCAUAUCGACGGCGGUGUUUGGCACCUCGAUGUCGGCUCAUCACAUCCUGGGGCUGAAGUAGGUCCCAAGGGUAUGGCUGUUCGCCAUUUAAAGUGGUACGCGAGCUGGGUUUAGAACGUCGUGAGACAGUUCGGUCCCUAUCUGCCGUGGGCGCUGGAGAAUUGAGGGGGGCUGCUCCUAGUACGAGAGGACCGGAGUGGACGCAUCACUGGUGUUCGGGUUGUCAUGCCAAUGGCACUGCCCGGUAGCUAAAUGCGGAAGAGAUAAGUGCUGAAAGCAUCUAAGCACGAAACUUGCCCCGAGAUGAGUUCUCCCUGAGACUUUAAGUCUCCUGAAGGAACGUUAAAGACGAUGACGUUGAUAGGCCGGGUGUGUAAGCGCAGCGAUGCGUUGAGCUAACCGGUACUAAUGAACCGUGAGGCUUAACCUU